rnacentral:sRNA from 2 species
CAAAUAUUUUCAGAUGUAAUUUAAAACCAAGUAAAGAACGAAUGCAGGAAUUUGGGAACUGAGCUGUGCAAGUGCUGAAGAAGGAGAUUUGUUUGGAGGA